rnacentral:rRNA from 1 species
CCUACGGGAGGCAGCAGUGGGGAAUAUUGCUCAAUGGGGGAAACCCUGAAGCAGCAACGCCGCGUGAGUGAUGAAGGUUUUCGGAUUGUAAAGCUCUUUUGUUAGAGAAGAAAAUGACUGUAUCUGACGAAUAAGCACCGGCUAACUUCGUGCCAGCAGCCGCGGUAAUACGGAGGGUGCAAGCGUUAUCCGGAUUCACUGGGCGUAAAGGGCGCGUAGGCGGUAUAGCAAGUCUGAAGUGAAAGCCUGUGGCUUAACCCUAGAACUGCAUUGGAAACUGUUAGUCUGGAGUACAGGAGGGGUAGGCGGAAUUCUUGGUGUAGGGGUGAAAUGCGUAGAUAUCAAGAGGAACACUGACGGCGAAGGCGACCUGCUGGAAUGUAACUGACGCUGAGGCUCGAAAGCGUGGGGAGCAAACAGGAUUAGAUACCCUUGUAGUC